rnacentral:lncRNA from 1 species
UAUGCCACCUUCUUUGCCAUAGAAUGGAGUUUAUCAUUGGUAGAAGACCUCGAUGAUGUAUGCAAAACUGCUUGCUGUGAAGAUUCGUUGAGGGAGGUUUUUGUGGUGUCUUCAUUUUCUCCUUCCUCACGGUACAUAGUCAUCUUAGUGUCAAAUUGUGAUGAGUCAGUCGACAAAUCAGUAUUCAUAUUAUCUACAUAACAGAGAUCUUCUUUGGCAGCAACAACUUCC